GGGACACGUGGUAUCCUGUCUGAAUAUGGGGGGACCAUCCUCCAAGGCUAAAUACUCCUGACUGACCGAUAGUGAACCAGUACCGUGAGGGAAAGGCGAAAAGAACCCCGGCGAGGGGAGUGAAAAAGAACCUGAAACCGUGUACGUACAAGCAGUGGGAGCACCUUCGGGUGUGACUGCGUACCUUUUGUAUAAUGGGUCAGCGACUUAUAUUCUGUAGCAAGGUUAACCGUAUAGGGGAGCCGCAGGGAAACCGAGUCUUAACUGGGCGUUAAGUUGCAGGGUAUAGACCCGAAACCCGGUGAUCUAGCCAUGGGCAGGUUGAAGGUUGGGUAACACUAACUGGAGGACCGAACCGACUAAUGUUGAAAAAUUAGCGGAUGACUUGUGGCUGGGGGUGAAAGGCCAAUCAAACCGGGAGAUAGCUGGUUCUCCCCGAAAGCUAUUUAG
rnacentral:rRNA from 1 species